CUUGGUCAUUUAGAGGAAGUAAAAGUCGUAACAAGGUCUCCGUAGGUGAACCUGCGGAGGGAUCAUUACAGAGUUCGUGCCCUCCGGGUAGAUCUCCCACCCAUUGUCAUCACUACUCUCGUUGCUUUGGCGGGCCGCUGGGCCCUGCCCGGCCGCCGGCCCCGGCUGGCGCGUGCCCGCCAGAGACCUCACAGACUCUGAAUGUUAGUGUCGUCCGAGUAACUAUACAAUCGUUAAAACUUUCAACAACGGAUCUCUUGGUUCUGGCAUCGAUGAAGAACGCAGCGAAAUGCGAUAAGUAAUGCGAAUUGCAGAAUUCAGUGAGUCAUCGAAUCUUUGAACGCACAUUGCGCCCUGUGGUAUUCCGCAGGGCAUGCCUGUUCGAGCGUCAUUUCAACCCUCAAGCCUCGCUUGGUGUUGGGCCCUGCCCGCCGCGGCCGGCCCUAAAGAUAGUGGCGGCGCCGCCUGGCCCUCAGCGUAGUACAGCUCUCGCUCCAGGGUCCGGCGGCAGCCUGCCAGAACCCCCCAACUCUGUGGUUGACCUCGGAUCAGGUAGGGAUACCCGCUGAACUUAAGCAUAUCAAUAAGCGGAGGA
rnacentral:rRNA from 1 species